UGAAAACAAUCACUACAACAGUCAUGUCAUCCACUACAACAGCCACCCCUACUACUGCGACAGCCAUACAAACUACAACAACAGCAAUUCCAACAACUACAACAUCCAUACCAACAGUGACAACAACAACAGCAGCAGCAAUGCCAACCACAAUGCCUACUACGCAACCUACUUAUGUGAAACAUGAUGUGCUCUAUGACUUGUCCAUCCCAAUCUCCAGUGUGCCACCAAAUAU